rnacentral:rRNA from 1 species
GACGAACGCUGGCGGCGUGCCUAAUACAUGCAAGUCGAACGCAGUGGGGACGGGAGAGUAACACGUGGGUAACCUCCCAUCAGAGGGGAUAAAACUUGGAAACAGGUGCUAAACCGAUACUGAUUGAUGGACCCGCGGGGCAUUAGCUAUUUGGUGAGGUAACGGCUCACCGAGGCCACGAUGCAUAGCCGACCUGAGAGGGGGAUCAGCCACACAGGGAAUGAGACACGGCCCAGACUCCAACGGGAGGCAGCAGUAGGGAAUCUUCGACAAUGGAAGAAAGUCUGACCGAGCAACGCCGCGUGAGUGAAGAAGGUUUUCGGAUCGUAAAGCUCUGUUGUUAGAGAAGCGGUAUCUAACCAGAAAGCCACGGCUAACUACGUGCCAGCAGCCGCGGUAAUAC